rnacentral:lncRNA from 1 species
UCCAACAAACUAGCUACACAAGAAAAAAAUUGUUUGUCCAAUUCAUUCUUGUCAAUAGUACGUACUCUUCCACCAUUAUCAGUUAUCAUCACCACCCGGGGCGGCGGCGGCGGCGGAAGAGGCAGCCGGGCCGGAGGCGGCAGGGUGGAAGGUGGCACCUUUCUUACAUGCCUUAUUACAAGGUCCAAAACAAAGAGCUUUAAGUUUAGUGCAAUCGGCCAAGCACUCCUUCAUACAUAUCAGAUACUCUAUCGCAGAAACAUCUUCAUGAAUAUUACCACGUGCUUCGCAUGCACCUGCGAAGCAGACGAUUAAAACC